ACUCAAAUGAAUAGACGGGGACCCGCACAAGCGGUGGAUUAUGUGGAUUAAUUCGAUGCAACGCGAAAAACCUUACCUACCCUUGACAUGUUAAAAAGUUUUUAGAGAUAAAUUCGUGCCCGAAAGGGAAUUUAAACACAGGUGCUGCAUGGCUGUCGUCAGCUCGUGUCGUGAGAUGUUGGGUUAAGUCCCGCAACGAGCGCAACCCUUGUCAUUAGUUGCCAUCAUUUAGUUGGGCACUUUAAUGAAACUGCCGGUGAUAAACCGGAGGAAGGUGGGGAUGACGUCAAGUCCUCAUGGCCCUUAUGGGUAGGGCUUCACACGUAAUACAAUGGCGCGUACAGAGGGUUGCCAACUCGCGAGAGGGAGCUAAUCUCAGAAAACGCGUCGUAGUCCGGAUCGGAGUCUGCAACUCGACUCCGUGAAGUCGGAAUCGCUAGUAAUCGCGGAUCAGCAUGUCGCGGUGAAUACGUUCCCGGGUCUUGUACACACCGCCCGU
rnacentral:rRNA from 1 species